UGUCAGAAGACCACUCUGUCAGGAAAAGCCAAUCCUCAGCAACACCCUCAAAAUGCUGGAGAAACUUAGCAGGUCAGGCUGCAAAUAUGAAAAGAAAUAAAUUGUCAGCGUUUUGGGUUGUGAUCCUUCAUCAGGACUGGAAGAAGCCGCCACCAAGCAAGAGAGAACCAGACUACAGCGCACAGUGAGGACUGCCGAGCGCAUCAUUGGAGCCUCCCUGCCCUCUAUUGUGGACCUGUACUCUUCCAGGUUGAAGAAGAGGGCGGGGAACAUCAUAAAGGACUCCGUCCAACCUGCGCACGGACUGUUUGAACUGCUUCCGUCUGAAAGGAAAAUGGUAGAGGUGAUAAAAUUAACUGGAAAGGAAGAAAGAGUCAGCCUGCUUCCCAUUGUUGAUUGCUAACCUUGGAUAUUACCCUGAAGUGGCAGGAGUUUUCAUUAUCGUGUGGAAGAGUGAACAGUAAACUGUUAAUCUUACUGUGAUCAUGCCCUCAUUGACUACGGUUUACCUCGGUGUUUAGUUCAGAGUUUCUACACCUGUAUGAGAACACUAGAGUGCAAAGGCAGAUUUACCAGGUGUUUCAACAAGUGGUACGAUGGCCACGUGAUCAAGUGUCAAGUCAUUGCCAUCCAGCGCCAGGAGCAGAAGGGCAUCAGCAAAUAAGGCUGCCCACAUAAGAGUGAAAGCAGAAACCGCCAAGGUGCGAGUGUCGUACGCUGAACAGGAAACAAAAUUGAAAAUGGAAAAGGCUGCCAGAGAAGCCAAAAACCAGUUGGAAAGGAUAAGGAUAGAAGCAGAGUUAGAAGUGCUGAUGCUAUGCUGAGAAACCGAAGCUGCCAUGGUGGAAGCAGAAAUGUUAGAAAGCGCUGAAGGAAUGCACGUUCUAGAUGAAGUAAAAUCUACUUCAGAAAGGACCAAAUUGGAACGCACUAGCAAAUACAUCCGAUCUCAAAUGGACCUGAAGAUUCGUUCUUCCUCUCCAUACUUAUUUGCUAAUGUCCCAUUUCAUGAGGAGUCAACGAGAAGUCCAAUUGCAUUGCAUCCAUUGAGGAAGACAAUUUAUGCUUGCAACUUUGCGAUGAAAUCGAGAAUGAAAGGGCUGACGACAAAUACUUCUCAAUGCCAAACUUACCAGAUUUGGCAAGAGAGGAGGCAAAGGCUGAAUUCAGAACAGCAAAUCUCAUAACGAAUGUACACCCUCAGUCAUGUAUCCGCUGACAUAUUCCACCAGCCAGUGUGCCAUUUGCAGUUGAACCCAUGGCACAGUAUUUAGCACGACGAGAUCUCGUCACUUCAGGACUAUACCAGUUUGACGAUAAGCCUGAAAAUUACCGUGCAUGGUACUCCACAUUCGCCAACGCUACCGGCAGAGUCCAGCUCGGAGCAACCCAAGAGUUGGAUCUUUUGACAAAAUGGCUGGGAACAGAAUCAUGCGAACAGGUGAGACGCAUACGUUCAGUGUACAUCAACAACCCCAAGCAAAGCAUGGGAGAGACUACAGGAGUGCUUUGCGGCCCCUGAAAUUAUUGAAACAGCACUACUUCGACGGCUGGAAAAUUUUCCUAGGGUGUCAGCCAAGGACCACACUAAAUUAAGAGAACUCAGAGAUUUACUCAUGGAGAUUGAAGGCGCUAAAGAAGAUGGCUAUUUAACUGGCCUAUUGUAUCUAGAUACUUCAUACAGAAUUAGACCAAUUGUGAACAAACUUCCAUUUGGGCUGCAGGAAAGGUAGGUGUCUGUUGGCUCAGAGUACAAGGAGGAGAACGGUGGUCAAUUUCCUUCCUUUAAGUAUUUCACUAGGUUUGUGUGCAAGGAGGCGAAGAAGUGAAACGACCCUAGCUUCAUGAGUCAAGGUAGCAGUACAAUUUACACCAAGCCAGUCAAAUCCACUUCGGAUAAUUUUAACAUCAAUAAACCUGUCUCGGUGCGUAAAACUGAAGUCUCUACAACUAACAAUGACCCUAGCAAGAAUUGUCCAUUGCACAACAAACCCCACCCCCUCAAAAAAUGCAGAACGUUUAGGAAAAAACCCCUUGAAGAGAGAAUGGCCCUUCUCAAGGAGAAAAAAAACUAUGUACCUCUCACCUUGCUAGAGAGUGUACGAUCCCCGUGAAGUGCUCGUAAUGUAAUAGCGCUAAUCACGAUGGGGCCAUACAUCCCGGCCUGUUACCACAAACCGACAAAGCUCCUUCACCCUCACAAGGGGACGGCGGGGAGGGAGAGGAUCAGACCAGAGUUCUUCGAGUUGUUCAACAUAGUGAGUAAUCAGUUCCCAUACUACCUUAGAACUUGCUCAGGCAACGUAGAAACAUAUGGCAGGAAGGCAGAAGGCUUCCAGCUCGAGUGGCUGGUUGGUAAAGUUGUCAUCUGUCUCCCUCCACUCUUAGAGAGCAAUGAAAUUUUGAAUAACCGCACUGAGAUCCUGACACCAAGCGUAGUACAACACCAGCCGCAUCUCCACCACAUCGCCAAGCACAUCCCAGAACUGGAUCCAGAAGCAGAAAUACUCCUGCUACUCGGAAGAGAUGUUCUCUGGGUGCACAAGGUCAGGCAGCAGGUCAAUGGACCACACGACGCCCCCUUUGCCCAACGCCUGGAUCUGGGCUGGGUGGUGAUAGGAGAGGUGUGCCUUGGCAAUGUACACAAACCGACAGAUUAUAUUGAGAAAUAUACCUGACAUAAUCACUAUAUAUACCUGAAAUAUAACCACUAUGUACUGGCUAUUUACUAUACAAUGUAAUCAUUUCUAUGUACUGAAUAUUACUAUGUAUUAGUUUACUAGACACAUUUUGCUAUGUAUUGUUUUAACUAGAUACCUUGUAUUCUCUUAGCUACAUACUUAAAGAACACCUGUUUAGCUAGCAGCACUAAUUAGCUGAAAUGUACUCCAUAUAUUAUACGCAGCCUUUGUUUAUUAAGAGAUAAUGGUGGCAGACAGGAUGGUACGAGCAGAAGAUGUAAUGUGAGGGAGGUUAAGGAGGCUGACUGAGAAACAACUGUGGCCAGGAAUGAGGCCCAAGUUGUGAACUGGAAAGAAAUACUGGUGGCGCACCGAGAGCUAGGCAAGAGCGAUUGAUUAGUUAAUGUAUAGAUGAUAUGCAAAUAUAAAUUGAUUGGGUAUGCUGAUGAAACCGGAAUGUAACUGAGAUAAGAAAUUACUAUAAAGAAUGCUGUACGCCGGAGCUCGGCGGGCUUUCGGUGACAAGUUCAUUGAUUGCCUCAGCCUUUGUUUGCAAAUAAAGGUUUAAACUUCUUGAAGGAGUCUGUGUCUCCUGGUCAUUUCAAGUAACCACGACAAAAUUGGCGUCAUGAACAGGAUCGGAAAGAGACCCGCAAAAAGGAUUCGGCGGGUUGAGGCCGCUUCCCAGUCCCUCAGGAGCCCUCACAGAGCUAACAGAAUUACCGGUGCACCCAGAAAAAAGGUAAUCGCUUUUUGCGACAAUUUGGACUAAAAUUCUGUUAGUUUUGGGGGUCUCGGGGACUCAGAAGUGUGUAGCAACUGCCGAAGGGUCUUUCCGAUCCAACAAAUCUGGCAGAAUUGAGGGCUUGACAGGAGGCUCAGAGGAUUGAUCGAGAACACUGCAGUGGGGGUAAGUAUGAAUAAGAAGUUGAGUAAAGAAAAUUCCACGUGGUGUUGGUAAAUCCCUGUGGAUACCGCUUCACAUGAAAUGAAGGGCUGAACGGGCAGGGAAAGUGAAGAGAAAGUUCUGUGAGUACUGCCCUAGAUUGAGGGCUGCUCGGGCAGAACGGAACAGAAGGUAAGAAGAAUUUGAUAAAUUGCUUGAACACUGGUAGUAUAAACUGUAGGGCAAGGCUUAGAGAUAGGAUCAGGGAAGUAUUUGAAUUGUGAGACUUUUUAAAGAAAUAAUACCUAAGAGAAGAAGAGAAUAACAUGGCGGAAGAAAAAAGAACAGCAGUAGACAUACUGUGCACGAAAUUCCCGGUAAUUAGAGGUGAGAUUACUGCAAUUUCAGAGAAAUGGGAAAAAAGAACCAAUAACCUGCACACAAAAUGGCCAAAAGAAGGGACAUUCGAUGUAAGCUUGUGUGAAGAGAUGGAAGCACUAAUUAAAAAUCAUAAACCAAACGAUAAGUCCAAGACAAGGGAGGAAAGGAGUGAGCAGGAGAUGAAACUUUUUAGGAUGGAGGGAGAGAGAUUGAGAAAGACAGGCAGGAUAUUGGUAAUAAACGAAAAAGGCACAAGGGGAACAGGGAAAACAGUUGGGUGGGGGAGAGGAAAAGCCUAACAGAAACGUGGCUUCAGCUCUAUACCCGGAUAUGAAAGAAGUAGAAAGACCCCCUCCCUAUAAUGAGCAGGGAACACCCAAGCAAUGCCCCAUAAUAUCAGGAACAGUAAGCCUGCAGGGGGAAGUAGAGGUCUGGGACCCUGAGGAGGAAAGAAGGAAAUAUGAGAGGGUGAGAGAGGUGCUGAAGAAUGAGAUAGAGGGAGAAAAGAUGAGGCUGGAACAGGAAAGAAGGGAUAUGGUAAGAGAAGUGGAAAGGCUACAGCAGCAGAGAGAGAAGAGGGAUUAUGAGGAGUGUCGGUUAUACUGUAGAGACAGACAGACUAGAAGAGAACAGGAAUCAACUAGACGGCAAGAACGGAGUGAUUUGAGAGGAAGGAGGAAGGUAGGAAACGAGAGUUUGGAGGAAGCACGAGAGAGAACAGAGAGGCAGAUAUUGGAGAUGGAAGAGGGGACUAGAGGAGAGAAGGAACAAGGGAGAAGGUAUACCCCAAGGAGGUAUGAGUGGCAGCCAGUAGAAAUAGGGUCAGCAAUAGAUGAAGAAUCAGGUGAGGCAGGAAGCUUGAUUACAUGGAACGGGGAGAAGGAAAUGCUGCCACUGCUGGUAAGGGAUCAGGACAAGUACAGUAUAUCCCUUGGGGAUCCCAGGACCUGGAGGGGCUGAAAAAUACUCUGCCUAGUCUGCACAAGGGGGCAGGAAAGUGGAUUAGAGCCUUCGAGGAGGAAACAACGGGACGAUUGUUGGCUAUGGGAGAUUUGAAGGCACUGCUGAUAAGAUUGAAGGGAACUUCCAAGCUAAAAGAACUGAUGUGGACAGCCCAAAGACUAAUGGGGCCAAUUUUGAUCCAGUGAGGCAGAGGGUAUGGCAGGCCCUCAGGAAACUUUACCCACCCAAAGUGGACCCCAAAGCCUUAAAAGGGGAUCCACUGGGAGACACUGAAAACCCAGCAGCCUAUGUAGAAAACCAGUUGAAAAGGUGGAGACUGGAGACUGAGCAAGAGGUGGAAAAUAGCUUGUUUCUGAACUCACUGUUCCAACAAGGCAUUCUGGACACAAUGCCUCAGCAAGUCAAAAUCAAAUUGGAGGAAGUAGUUGGGCUGUUGUCGCUGACCCCACAGGCAUUCAGUGAUCACGUAGUCCAUGCGGGGGAGAAAUAUCGGAGAGACAAAUGAAAGCUGGCUGAGCAGCAAGAAGAGGUGCAGCAAAAGCUAUUGCAAAUGCAGCUCGAAGAACUGAAAAAAAAAGAAAAAGAGAAAAGCAAAAAGAUGCUGCCAGUUACCACCAGUGUGAGUACAGCCAUUAAAGUGAAUGAAGCACCGCUAGAUGGAGGAACCGGUCAUUCUGUCAGUCAAGGGCCAGAAAACCCCAUGCCAAUAAUGAAUGUCUUCAGAGGAACAUUUCCACAGAUGCCCUAUCAGGGACAGAGUAGAUUUAAGCAACAGCCCAGACAGGACUGGAACUCCCAAGGUAGGGGACAGAGGAGUUAUGGGCAGAGAGGAUUAGUGAGGAGAGGGGGGAAAGAGAGAUAGAAAGAUUGUGCUGGGGAUGCAGUCAGACUGGACACAUGAAGAGAGACUGCCCAUUUAAACAAUGGCUCGUCUCGUACCAGCAGGAACCGAUGCAAGGGAGUCACAGUUUGGCCACAUGCCGGCUCCUGGGGGUCUGAGCAAACCUGUAAACCCCUAUGCAAGGUAUUAGGGGUGGCCCGAGAACUCGAGUGGGAAGGGACAUUACCCGAUGAUAAUGAGGGAGGCAGAGGAGGAACCUAUGGUUCAGGUUAUGUUAGAAGGGCAACUGACACCAAUGAUGAUAGAUACUGGAGUCACGUACACUUGUGUACAGCCACAGUAUGCCCUUCACCUUCCCAUGUCAGGAAGGUUUAUUAAGACGGUAGGGUUCUCGGGGAAAACACAGCUGACACAGUGCACGGCUCCAGUGCAUUUGAGAAUGGGAAAUAAAGGAAUUGUUUUGCCAGUACUAGUAUCUAAAGGAACUCCAAUUAAUUUGUUAGGCAGAGAUGCUCUAUUGAAACUGGAAUUAAAAUUAGAAUGCACCAGAAAUGGGUUAAGUGCGGAAAGAGCAGGGGCUCAAUUGAUAGUGCGAGAAGAUAAGAGAGGCAAUGUUUUUUGGAUAGGGGACAUUGAAGAUUAGAUCUGGGUUGCCUGGGAAAAGUGGAAACAGGGCGUGCAGGCCAUAUUACCUGAGGCUGUAGCACCCAAAUCUGAGUUACUGUAAUUUUCAAUGAGACUCAGAAUAAGGAGGUAGAGAGGAGAUGGAACAUGAGGACAGAUAUUCGACAACACCUGAAAGGGGAAGCCAUAGUAAUUGGGAAGCAGGGG